AGGGCUGAAAAGACUGAAGUUCUGAGUGAAGACCUUCUUCAGGUGGAGAAGCGACUGGAGCUGGUGAAGCAGGUGUCCCAUAGCACGCACAAGAAGCUCACCGCGUGUCUGCAGGGCCAGCAGGGGGCAGAGGCCGACAAGCGCUCUAAAAAGCUACCUUUGACAACACUGGCUCAGUGUUUGAUGGAGGGGUCGGCCAUUCUGGGAGAUGACACACUUCUUGGGUAAGGUGACUGUGCGUGGGUUUGGGUCAAGUCCAGGUGAACCCUGUCCUUAGAAAUGGGACUGGAACUCCUCCAAAAAGCUCCUAGUGCACCUGAGUUCUGGGUGGGAAAGGAGAAAAUGUGGCACUGAAAAAUCAAAACCCUCAGCUCUGAGGUUAUAGUGUUUGUGCAACUGGUGAAAAAUAAUCAAAACCCCUACAGAACAUCAGCAGAAACGGAGAAAAG